UACGAAGGGGGCUAGCGUUGCUCGGAAUGACUGGGCGUAAAGGGCGCGUAGGCGGUUCAUACAGUCAGAUGUGAAAUUCCUGGGCUCAACCUGGGGGCUGCAUUUGAUACGUGUGGACUGGAGUGGGGAAGAGGGUCGUGGAAUUCCCAGUGUAGAGGUGAAAUUCGUAGAUAUUGGGAGGAACACCGGUGGCGAAGGCGGCCACCUGGGCCGGAACUGACGCUGAGGCGCGAAAGCGUGGGGAGCGAACAGG
rnacentral:rRNA from 1 species